UACGGGGGGAGCAAGCGUUGUUCGGAUUUACUGGGCGUAAAGGGCGCGUAGGCGGUCAGCACAAGUCAGUUGUGAAAUCUCCGGGCUUAACUCGGAAAGGUCAACUGAUACUGUGCGACUAGAGUGCAGAAGGGGCAACUGGAAUUCUCGGUGUAGCGGUGAAAUGCGUAGAUAUCUGGAGGAACACCGGUGGCGAAGGCGGGUCUCUGGGCCGAUACUGACGCUGAGGAGCGAAAGCGUGGGGAGCGAACAGG
rnacentral:rRNA from 1 species